ACAGUGGUGGUCCAGUGGUAGAAUUCUCACCUUCUAUGAAGGAGGCCCGGGUUUGAUUCCCGGCCAGUGUA
rnacentral:tRNA from 1 species